rnacentral:lncRNA from 1 species
CCUUCUGACUCUCUGAUAGGGUGUGGUCUUUCCAAGAGAGCAUCCUCCAGGGAACUGGAAAGGAGGAAACCCAGGCCUCACAUCUCCUGAAGCAGAGUCUGCGUUUCAGCAGAAUCCCCAGAAGUUGCGCUGCAUGGUAAAGUUGGCAAAGGCCUGGCCUAACGCCUGGGGUGGUCUGGCUUAAAGUGAUGUGCUGGCAUCACAAAUGUAAGAAGAAAUAAGGUCCGCAGAGCCAAAAUCUGUGGUGCCACAGAGGCAGAAUUUGGUGGUCAUGGUGGCCAACUAACUGUUUCGUGCAUUUGGGUCCUGCCAGCAGGUUGAGAAGAGGGCGACAGACGCCGAGAUGGUUGGAUGGCAUCAUCGAAGCAGUGGACAUGAGUUUGAGCAAGCUCCAGGAGAUAGGGAAGGACACUGCGGCGUCACAGAGUCGGACACGGCUGAGCCACAACAACAACAACAACAAGCAAGUUGAUUCAGAAGACAGAUGAGAAAUGUGUCCCCGGGGCAGCAAGGCUGAACACCACGACUCAGAGAUCCUUUGUUAAAAGGGAAAAUGAGAUCAGCGGUAAUUACCACACCUGCUGGCACUCUUCAGAGAGGAGAGACUCCCUUGGACAAGAGAGGCAGGCUGCCAAAGCCCACUGAACGUGCUUCUGAUAUUCAGGAAGAUUUGCCAGAAGUUAAUCUUCUCAAGAGGAAAUCAAGAAUGGCUCCCUGCAGGUAAUUCAGUGUGUGGAGCAGAAGUGAAAAGAUGAGUUGAAAUGAAGCACAAAAUAAGAAACCGUGGAUUCCUGAAAACCAAGCCUCAGGAGAGGGAAACCCAGCCCCAGCGACCUGCAGAAGUACGUGGCUUUGACUUCCGUCCUGUUGAGUGGCGCGGGUCCGUCGGAAGCUGCAAGGACACCCCUGAGGUAUUCUGGCUCCGACAGGGUCUUCCUCCCCUCAGCUCUCCGGAAAAUUUCAUAUUCUGGGCACCUCCUCUUUGGACAAGGGCGUCUUGUGUCUUCCAGUCCAGCUGGAGAGCCUGGCAGGCAAACAGCACAGGCCAUUCAGUCCCAGAGCGGCUUUACGUACGCGCGGCCGAAGCCAAGGCCGAAGCGUGUUCGUUGUCCCGGACGUGCUGGUUCACAGGCAGCCUGGUGAGUUCAGACGCGACGACUGGGUACACGAAAGGUGGGAUGGGGACACGUGUUUCCCAUCAGUACAUCCGCCCCUGCUCACACCGCUACCUCUCCAUUCCACCAUCCAGAUGGAUGUUGCCUGGGAUGAUCUGUCUUUCGUCCAGCUGGAGCUCUCCCAGCGGGCCAGCGGUGGCGUCACCCACGCGGGUGGUCCCGCUGGGUCUCAGCUGGGGCUGGGGCCACUGCCAGUCUCAAAACAGACCCUCUGCGCCAACUCCCAGGCUCCCCAGGCGGCCUCCACGGACUGGCACACCCCCGCGCCCCUCCAAUUGCAGAAGAAACUCCUAA